rnacentral:tRNA from 1 species
UAGGAAGAUAAGCUAAACCCAAGCUAUUGGGCCCAUACCCCAAAAAUGAAGGUUAAAUUCCCUCUCUUCCUAU